CUCCACGCUUCCAUUUAAAUAAGGUGGCUGAUUCGUCUUGAAGCCUUAGCCUUUCGAUGCUCCUGCAGAAAUUUCUACUGGAGAGAGAGCAGCGCACUGCUUUCCUCUGUUGAAUUCUCUUCUUCAGCUUUUCUCUGCCAAGACGGAGUGCUGGGCUCUAAGAUGGUGGGUCUUUGAGGUGAUUCAAAGGUUUGAGGAGAGUUGUUGGGCCAGUUCAACUCUGGUUUUGGCAUUUGGGUGGUGAGUGGAGAUUGAGGGUGGUUUAGGGUUUUGAUGGGGUCGCCGUCAGUGGUGGAGGUUGGGGACAGAGGGAGCAUGUGGGAUUUGGAACAGAAGUUUGAUCAGUCGAUGGAUGAAGAGGCUGAUAAGAUUGGUAAUAUGCAUGGAGAGAAGAAAGUUUCUACAUUGUUAAUUCUAAGACUCGCAUUCCAGAGUCUUGGGGUGGUGUUUGGAGAUUUGGGGACAUCACCUUUGUAUGUUUUCUACAACACGUUUUCUCAUGGAGUAAAGGAUCCUGAAGAUAUUAUCGGAGCUCUGUCUCUGAUUAUAUAUACGCUAACUCUUAUCCCACUCCUCAAAUAUGUUUUUGUGGUGCUAAGAGCGAAUGAUAAUGGUCAAGGGGGAACUUUUGCUCUAUACUCACUACUUUGCCGGCAUGCAAAAAUCAAUGACAUUCCCAACCAGCACAGAUCAGAUGAAAAACUAACAACAUACAGUUGCCGAACGUAUGAAGAGAAUUCAUUGCCAGCCAAAUUUAAGAACUGUUUAGAGGCUCAUGCAUACAAGAGAAAAGCUAUUCUUGUUCUAGUUCUUAUCGGGACUUGUACAGCCAUAGGUGAUGGUGUGCUUACUCCAGCUAUUUCAGUUCUCUCAGCAACUGGUGGAAUCAAGGUGAACCAGCCCAAUGUUAGCAAUGAUGUUGUUAUACUGGUCGCAGUGAUUAUAUUAAUUGGUUUGUUUAGCAUGCAACAUUAUGGUGCAGACAGAGUUAGCUGGGUAUUUGCUCCGGUUGUUCUCCUCUGGUUUUUGUUUAUAGGAUUCAUAGGGGCAUUUAACUUAUGGAAGUAUGACAGUUCAGUUCUUAAAGCCUUCAAUCCAGCUCAUAUAUUUAAGUAUUUUAAAUGUGGCCGCCAGAAUUGGACUUUCCUUAGUGGGAUUAUGCUUAGCAUCACAGGAUCUGAAGCAUUAUUUGCUGACCUAUGUAAUUUCCCAGUUCCUGCUAUUCAGAUUGCUUUUUCUUUUGUUGUGUUUCCAUGCCUUCUUUUGGCAUACAUAGGGCAAGCGGCUUACAUCAUCCAACACCAAGAUCAGGUAUUCGACGCAUUUUAUCGGUCAAUUCCAGAUUGUGUAUACUGGCCUAUGUUUGUGAUUGCAACAGCUGCAGCCAUUAUUGCUAGCCAAGCCACAGUAUCAGCAACAUUUUCAAUUAUCAAGCAGGCGCUUGCUCUUGGAUGUUUUCCAAGAGUUAAGGUUGUUCAUACAUCAGAAAAUUUUCUCGGACAGAUAUAUAUUCCCGACAUUAAUUGGAUUAUGAUGAUUCUAUGCAUAGCUGUUUCUGCUGGUUUCAAAAAUCAAAAUCAUAUUGGCAAUGCAUAUGGAACUGCUGCUGUGAUAGUCAUGUUAGUUACAACCUUGUUGAUGGUCCCUAUAAUGUUCUUGGUUUGGAGAAGCCACUGGAUCCUCAUCAUCCUCUUCACUGGUCUCUCCCUUUUUGUCGAGCUCGCUUACUUCUCUGCUGUUUUGUUCAAGGUUGAUGAAGGUGGAUGGGUCCCACUUGUCAUCGCAGCUGUUUUUUUCCUCAUCAUGUAUGAUUGGCAUUAUGUUACAGUAAAGCGCUACGAGUUCGAGAUGCACUCCAGGGUCUCAAUGGCUUGGAUCCAUGGCCUGAGUUCCAGCCUCGGCCUCGUUCGUGUUCCUGGCAUCGGAUUUAUAUACACAGAACUUCCGAGCGGAUUACCUCGCAUCUUCUCACACCUUAUUACAAACCUUCCAGCCCUCCAUUCUGUUGUUGUUUUUGUUUGUGUCAAGUACCUUCCUGUUUACCGUGUUCCCUUGGAGGAGCGCUUCCUAGUGAAGAGAAUCGGCCCAAAGAACUUUCAUAUAUUUCGUUGCGUCGUGAGGUAUGGAUACAAAGACCUGCACAAAAAGGAUGAUGACUUUGAGAAAAUGCUGUUUGAUAGCAUUGUUGUCUUUGUUCAUCAUCGUGAAGUAUCUACGAGUUACUCAGAUUUGGAUGAUUGUGAUUUUUCGGUGCAGCAGAAUGAGAAUUCUUUUGAUCUGGUUAAGGCUGAGUAUGAGGAUGAUUUGUGCUCCCUUGUGGAAGUGACAAACAUCUCAUUGCAGGACUCCAUUCCUGUACAGUCAUUAGAGCACAAUAGUGAUAUAACAGAGUUCUCUACGGACACCAGAACGGGUAGCGAAGAUGAGCUUGAUAUCUUAACCAGAUGCAAGGAAGCAGGGGUGGUGCACAUUCUGGGUAACACAAGGGUGAGGGCUCAGAGAAAUUCAAAUAUUUUCAAAAGGAUUGCUGUUGAUUAUGUUUAUGCAUUUCUUAAAAGAGGUUGCAGGGAGAACAGUAUGGUGUUUAAUCUUCCACAUGAAAGUUUGUUGACUGUAGGCCAGGUAUGGAUACAGAUGAUUGUGCAUUUUCUGUACAACAGAUGAGACAUCUAAGCAGAACUGGCUCAGUGGAAUUCAAAUAUUGUUAAAAAGAUUUAUGUUGAUUAUAUUGAUGGGAUUCUUAGAAUAAUUUGUAGGGAUCACACAUGAGAGUUUGUUUAGUUUAGGCUGGGUGUUUUAUAUUAUAAUUAGCUCUAUAUCUGAUUCUGCAACUGCUCUUUCAGUCCAUGAACGCUACACAUUACGAGAAU